rnacentral:rRNA from 1 species
GGGCGAAAGCCUGAUGCAGCGACGCCGCGUGAGCGAAGAAGUAUUCGGUAUGUAAAGCUACUAUCAGCAGGGAAGAAAAUGACGGUACCUGACUAAGAAGCCCCGGCUAACUACGUGCC